rnacentral:rRNA from 1 species
UACGUAGGGGGCAAGCGUUAUCCGGAUUUACUGGGUGUAAAGGGAGCGUAGACGGCAAGGCAAGUCUGAAGUGAAAGCCCGGUGCUUAACGCCGGGACUGCUUUGGAAACUGUUUGGCUGGAGUGCCGGAGAGGUAAGCGGAAUUCCUGGUGUAGCGGUGAAAUGCGUAGAUAUUAGGAAGAACACCAGUGGCGAAGGCGGCUUACUGGACGGUAACUGACGUUGAGGCUCGAAAGCGUGGGGAGCAAACAGG